CACAUGCAAGUCGAGCGCACUCUUUUAGAGUGAGCGGCAAACGGGUGAGUAACGCGUGGGAAUCUACCCAUCUCUACGGAAUAACACAGAGAAAUUUGUGCUAAUACCGUAUACGUCCUAUUUGGAGAAAGAUUUAUCGGAGAUGGAUGAGCCCGCGUUGGAUUAGCUAGUUGGUGAGGUAACGGCUCACCAAGGCGACGAUCCAUAGCUGGUCUGAGAGGAUGAUCAGCCACACUGGGACUGAGACACGGCCCAGACUCCUACGGGAGGCAGCAGUGGGGAAUAUUGGACAAUGGGGGCAACCCUGAUCCAGCCAUGCCGCGUGAGUGAUGAAGGCCCUAGGGUUGUAAAGCUCUUUCACCGGUGAAGAUAAUGACGGUAACCGGAGAAGAAGCCCCGGCUAACUUCGUGCCAGCAGCCGCGGUAAUACGAAGGGGGCUAGCGUUGUU
rnacentral:rRNA from 1 species